UCCCUCUUAGCUCAGUGGUAGAGCGUGUCACUCGUACUCUACAUGUACCAUGACAAGGUCAGUCGUUCAAUCCGGCUAGCGGGAA